rnacentral:rRNA from 1 species
AAUCAACGCUGGCGGCGUGCCUCAGACAUGCAAGUCGAACGCGAAAUCCCGAGCAAUCGGGAGAGUAGAGUGGCGCACGGGUGAGUAACACGUAGGUAAUCUACCUUCGGAUGGGGAAUAACAACCGGAAACGGUUGCUAAUACCGCAUAAUGCAGCGGCACCUAAUGGUGACAGUUGUUAAAGCGGGGGAUCGAAAGACCUCGCGUCUGAAGAGGAGCCUGCGGCGGAUUAGCUAGUUGGUAAGGUAAUGGCUUACCAAGGCAACGAUCCGUAACCGGCCUGGAGGAGGGCGGUCGGUCACACUGACA